UAUUAUGGUGUGUUUUACGCUUUCUGCUAACGAAUGCUCUGACUUUAUUGCACUACUGUUCUUUACAGCUAGCAGUGCAAUAGUAUUGUCAAAGCAUCUGAAAGCAGAAUACACAGCAGUA
rnacentral:pre_miRNA from 1 species